rnacentral:rRNA from 1 species
AACGAACGCUGGCGGCAUGCCUAACACAUGCAAGUCGAACGAGACCUUCGGGUCUAGUGGAGCACGGGUGCGUAACGCGUGGGAACCUGCCCUUAGGUUCGGAAUAACUCCCCGAAAGGGGUGCUAAUACCGGAUAAUGUCUUCGGACCAAAGAUUUAUCGCCUUUGGAUGGGCCCGCGUUGGAUUAGCUAGUUGGUAGGGUAAAAGCCUACCAAGGCGACAAUCCAUAGCUGGUCUGAGAGGAUGAUCAGCCACACUGGGACUGAGACACGGCCCAGACUCCUACGGGAGGCAGCAGUGGGGAAUAUUGGACAAUGGUCGAAAGCCUGAUCCAGCAAUGCCGCGUGAGUGAUGAAGGCCUUAUGGUUGUAAAGCUCUUUUACCCGGGAUGAUAAUGACAGUACCGGGAGAAUAAGCUCCGGCUAACUCCGUG